rnacentral:rRNA from 1 species
UACGUAGGGUCCGAGCGUUGUCCGGAAUUACUGGGCGUAAAGAGCUCGUAGGUGGUUUGUCGCGUUGUUCGUGAAAACUCACAGCUCAACUGUGGGCGUGCGGGCGAUACGGGCAGACUAGAGUACUGCAGGGGAGAACGGAAUUCCUGGUGUAGCGGUGAAAUGCGCAGAUAUCAGGAGGAACACCGGUGGCGAAGGCGGUUCUCUGGGCAUGUCCUGACGCUGAGGAGCGAAAGCGUGGGGAGCGAACAGG